CCUACGGGGUGCAGCAGUGAGGAAUAUUGGUCAAUGGCCGGAAGGCUGAACCAGCCAAGCCGCGUGAGGGAGGAAGGCGCAGAGCGUCGCAGACCUCUUUUGCCGGGGGACAAAAGGCCGGACUCGUCCGGUCCUGAGGGUACCCGGAGAAAAAGCCUCGGCGAACUCCGUGCCAGCAGCCGCGGUAAUACGGAGGAUGCGAGGGUUAUCCGGAUUCAUUGGGUUUAAAGGGUGCGCAGGGGGGCCGUUAAGGCGGCGGUGAAAUCGCGGGGCUCAACCACGCCGAGCCGUCGGAACUGGGGUCCUUGAGUGCGGCGGAGGCAAGCGGAAUGCGGGGUGUAGCGGUGAAAUGCAUAGAUAUCGCGCAGAACCCCGGUGGCGAAGGCAGAGUGCCGUGCAGCAACUGACGCUGAGGCACGAAAGCGCGGGGAUCGAACAGGAUUAGAUACCCGUGUAGUC
rnacentral:rRNA from 1 species